CGAGGGCCGGAGGGUUCCUGGCAAGGUGAUUUGCGACUGCGUUUCUAAGAAAAAUCACAUUGCCAGGGAUUACCACUGGCCCUCG
rnacentral:pre_miRNA from 1 species